rnacentral:lncRNA from 1 species
UGGGUGGGACCAUGCCUGGCCGCCCACCACCAGGGCGCAGGACUGGGGUUACUUGUGACCAGCUAUGAGUUUGUGGCUGCCCCUUCAAAGAAGGGUGGCCAACGACCUUCCCUUCCUGGAGUCCUGGGCAUCUUUGGACAGGGUGAACAGUUCUGGGGCAUGGGCAGCACCUUGGAUAGCUCCUGGUCAGUCAGGCUUCUGUCCUGGCCAAUGGGACACCCUGUUGGAAUCCUGGCUCUGUCCACCUCCCAGGGCCAUCAGUGUCUCCGCCCUGGGAGGAGCCAGGGACAGCCAAGGUCCCAGGGCCACUCCCUCUGGCCCAGCUUGGUGCCCCCUCCUCGCGCACUAGCCCCACUGGCAGAAGCCGCUAGGUGUGCCAGGCUGGCCACACAGGAGGAGGUGGGCUGGGCAGGCUCCCAGGACUGUCUGCCCAGAGCUGGGUUGACACUGGGAGGGCAGCGCCCUGCGUCCUUGUCCUCCCUGGGGGCAGGUUCUGGCUACAUCCCUCCUAAAUUCCCUGACCAGCCCACAGGAGGCAGGAACUGCCAUUGUCCCCAUUUCCCAGAUGAGGACACCUGAGGCAAGCAAGGGACAGGGCUGUCUGAUUCUGAGAGUUUGAGACUGCCCAGGGGACACUUGGCAGCACGCUGACCUCCUCAGGGACAUACCCUUCCCAGGACCCAAUGUCCAGUGGGAUGAGGGCAACCUGGGGACCAAGGCCUGGUCCCCCAGCUCAGACCUUCAGAGCAGCAGGUCUCAGGACAGGUCUCCUGAGACAGGGAAGAGUUUCUCGCUGGCCACCCACACCGGGGAGGCCAUCCUCUGCCCUGUUAAGGGGCGGCUGCUGGAGGGGCCCCUCCUUGGAGAGCCCAUGCUGCCAGGGAGGGGCCCAGGUUGAGCCCCAGGCGACUCCUCCUGGUUGGACCACACCAGCUCCAGUCUCCUGCCUGCCAAGCCUGGAGAGGUCAGAAGCAGUGGACACCUGCCCCGGGGAGGGGGCUGGUGUCCAGCAGGGAGGGCAGGAAGCAGUCAGGAUGGACAAUGACCUACCCCACAUGGAGGCUUCAGCACCCUGCCCUCACCUCACCUGCUGCCCAGGCCAUGAGACCCUGUCCCUCACACAGUGCCUCGAGACUGCCUAGGGUCCCCUUCAGGAUAGAAGCCUUGUGAGGUCCAAAAUAAGGUUCUGGGCCUCGUUGCCUCCCAUAGCAGGGCAGCCUUGAGACCUGUGCCGCCCGCUGACCACUGCAGCCAGCCUGAGGUCGGCCCACCCACUGCCAGAAGGAGCACACAGCAGGGCCAAGCUGAACAAGAUGGUCCCCUGGGAGGGCUGCCUGGCAGAGCCUUGGGACAUGCUUUGGCAGGCCCCAGCAAGGGACCCAGGAAUGACAGGUAUCAGUGACAGGGCAGUGGCCUGGCACAGAC